GAGUGUCUACCAGAGGAUAUACCUGCCUUCUCUCUGCAUCUACUGACUGCUUCCAUUUAUGACAGCCUACCAAGACACUGCUGAUACAUGAAGAUUCCUGUUUGCUGGCUUCAUCUCAAGAAUUUUGCUGCAAAAAUGGCUGCUGUCUACAUGCAGAGCUACAAAAAAAAAUUGAACCCCCCGUUUUUCUUCACGUUAGGUAUCAAUGACACAAGAACAUGGAUUCCUUGUUGUGAUAACACAAAUCUUUAGCAGAGGAAUAUGAAAAGGAAUCCCUAACACCGCGAGCAGAGAACGAGUAAAAAUGUAGUACCAAACUCGUCAAGAGAUGGCGCCACCUCCGAGAUAGAACGCGCCAACGAUUUGUCGUCGUAGAAUCAUGACGUCCGAGAUACAAAUUACCGAUCAGUUUAGAAUUUUUAGGAGAAGAUUAGUACCUGUUGGCUGCAUAAGUGCAUA